ensembl:lncRNA
AACAACAAAUAAGUAAACAUACACACUGCAUGGUGCGGAUUUGAUUGGGUCUCUUUUGCAACUAUUGUUGUUAAAUGAAAGUUUCUGGUGAUGAUAAAAAUACAUCUUACCGUAAUAUCUUAAUAAAGCUUACCAAUAAUUUAGGUUAUGAGCAUUAAAAAGCCCAAUCCAACAACUUCAUAUCAGUUAGUCUUUAAGGGAUACAGUUGUCAUUGAAAUUACAAAAAUAUUUACCUUCAAUUCAAUUUUAAAAGUGCUGUACUUCCACCUCCAAAAUAAGAGUGAAAAACUCAUUUUAGCUUCAAAGGGAAUGUUCAAAAUAAAAUCGAUGAUGGCAAUUUAUUAUUGAACCUAAAUCAGAUGUUGAGGUUAAACAGCUGAUUGGUAGAAUUCAAGGCGCUUUGUGGCUUUUCAAGGAGAUACGGAAGUCAGUUUAUUAUCACAUUUUCCAUGUAGCUAUAAAUCCAACGAACACACUAAACGCACUCAAUGAUGUUGAUCCCAGACGAUUAACCCCAGAUUUGUCAUUGUUAAACUUUUUAUUUUUAGUUCUUACAUUUUUCCAAUAUCUGUCCAUGGCCUCAAAGGCCUGUUUAAGCUUUGAGUAAAACAGUAAAAACAUACAAACGACUUACUGUUACUCUUCUCUCUGCAUCACAAUGUCCUGUCAAUCUAAAUGAAUGAAUGCAGGCAUGAAAAGCGGUGAACUUGGCUCUCUGUGUGUCUGUGUGUGUGUGUGUGUGUGUGUGUGUGUGUGUGUAUUGAAGGAGUGGCAGAGAAUAAACUCAGCGAUUAGGCGACAGGACAAAGGACAGAAGAGGCAGAGACCUUUGCAGAAAGCCAAGUGUAAAUUUCAGGUGCAUCUUUAUGAGUUUGUGGGUUUCUGUGUUCGUGCUCGAGCACGAGUCUGGCUGCGCGUGUGAGGCCAGAUGUCAGCGCUGACAAUAGCCUGUUGAGACCUGGGGGGAGACGGGCUUCAUUGAAAGUGGCCUUGAACAAACAGAGAAUAGAGACGGAAGAGUAGAGGAAGGUAGGCAGGGAGGGACGGCCAACGUGGGAUGGAGAGAGAGAGAGAGAGAGAGAGAGAGAGAGAAAGAGCUGGAACAAACGGAGGGAAUGUGGGAGAACAUGUCGGAAUGAGGCAAAUGUGGAUGAAUGGAGUCAAGAAGAAAUACGAUUGGCACGGAGAGCUGCAUAUGUGUAAAAAUGGAGGGGAAAAGGAAUAUGUGGAAGAGGGGAGGAGUUAGACGAAGCCUAAUUGGAAGCGAGGGGGGAGAGGAGAGGGAUUAGGGAAGUGAAUGAUUAAAGAUUGAGCAAUGAACAGAGAUUUGAGGGAAGAAAGAACGGACAAAAGAAGGGUGGGCUGAAAAAUAAAUGGGUAAAAGGAAAUUGGGAUGGAUGGAAAAAUGGAAGGAUUUAAAAAGGCAGGAGGACAUUUUAGAUAAAGGAAGGAAUAGAAAGGGAAACCGCAGGCUUCUCUCAGUAAAGGUUAGCUUUGAUGGACGAAAGAGGCCACAGGGUUAAGUGUGUGUAUGUGUGUGUGUGAGAAAGAUACACAAAAAAGAAAAAAUGCACAUGCUUCCAUGUUUAUGUGUGAAAAGAAGGGAGGGAUAGGGGGUGUUGCUGAUGUGUGUGUGCGUGUUUGUAUGUGCAUGUGUGUGUGUGUGCACUCGCUGGAGUAGUAGGCGUAUGAAAUCAAUAAUUGCUAAAUAAAUUAUUAGCCAAAAAAUUUCAAAAGGCACCAGCAAAAACAAAUGAUUCAAGUACUCACAGGCUAAGAGAUGGAUGUGUGUGUGUGUGUGUUUCUUUUGCUGCAAAGGAAACAAUGUGCCGGAUCAGUCGUGGCGGUGUUGAUGUUUUCAGCACGGCGUGACAGUUUUACACGCUUGCGUCCGGUCGGCAAUCAGAGAGCGUUUUACAGGCUUAUCAGCCUUUUAUCUGGGGUCAGGUAUCACUUUUAUGUGAAAAAACAAAACUCCUUCAUACAUGAGAAACAGUCUAUUUGUUGAUUUUAAAAUCAACAUAUACAUUUUACGUACUUAUUUCUUGAACAAAUUAAUAAUCUGUAUGCUAUCCGCCGUAUCAUUCUAAAGGUAUCUAAUAAUAAUGUGUCUCUUAAAAUCCAUAGUAAGUAAAUCUCUGAAAAUUGGUGUAAUACUGUAUUCAAAUUAGUGACGGCUUACUGUUGGAUGGGAAGUAGUAAGAAAACAAAGAAAGUGGCCAGCAGACAUGCAUGCUUUUAUAAUGUGAAACAAUACAAAUGGUAUCUUCUGAAUCCUAUUUUAUUGGGGUCUUCAUUUUUUACAUCAAAUUAAAAUAAAAUAAAAACUAAAAAUCAAUAAAACAUGUAUGUACUCUCUUCAUAAAAUAAUGACCGGAGGGUUGAUGGAGCAGUUUAAUUUAUAAAAAUCUAAAUGUAUAAAUUGCUGUAACCUUUGGUCCAUAUAACAGAAAAGCUAUUUGAACUGUCCUGGUUGGACUGUAAUGUUGCUUUAGUCAGCACAUCUGGAUGAAAAUCUGCGCGCACAUCUGUUUAUAGCAUUAGUAUUAGAAUUUAAUUUUAAUUUAAUUUUCUUUACUAUUUCCCUCUUCUUCCUUCUAUUGUAUUUCAAAUGCUGGUAGAAAUGGACACAUCAGCAGUUCACCAGUUGUCUACACACACACACACACACACACACACACACACACACACACACACACACACACACACACACACACACACACACACACACACACACACACACACACACUCCUCUCAGUCUCCAAGGACCUACCGGCGGCUUAUGUGUGGGUGAUAAUGAAAGCUGCUGACUGGCCGUGGUGAUUGGUUCCUCUGCAGCCUCCAGAGACGGCGUCUCAAUGGUGCCAGCUAGACGCCAGACAGACACACACAUUACGUUUACGCGCGUGUGUGUGUGUGUGUGUGAUACGGUCAGUGUGUUUCCAUGCUCUUGUGCCCACAUGAAUGUCCCAUCAGCAGGUGUAUGUGUCUGUAUGUGUAAUUGGACGAGUGUGGAUCUCUGUCAGUGGGACAUGAGCAUCUGUGUGUGUGUGUGUGUGUGUGUGUGUGGCUGCAUCACUGAUACUGCGCCGUGCCCCUCAGUCUGCGGCCUGAUUAUAAACACAAUAAAUGAGUCCAUGUUGUGUUGUAAAGGUGUAGGCUUUCCCCCGGCUUCAUGCCGUCUCUGUUUCUAUCCGUCUCCUUUGGAUUCCGUCUCUGUCCCUUGUUCUCCGUCUCACUCUCUCAUAGAUUCUCGUUGAUGUAAAUAUCAGGACGCCGCUCCUGAUCUCGUGAGUAUAUAAUUACAGUAAAAAGACGUCACUGUAAAGCGGCAGUGUUGAACUCUGACCUGUAUAUCCACACUGUUGACAAAUAGCACGACAACCGUUCGGACCUUUGACUUUCAUUUGAAAGAGCAAUGAGCCAUUUCAUCCUAGUAAGCUAAACGUUAACAUCCAUUUCCUCCACUGAAUGCCAAUCUAAGAAGUGACGAGAGGCUCGCGUCUUGAUAACAGUAUUUACAAUGUUUCCUUGUUUCCGCAUCGAUCACAUCGCGGCUCAUUUUCAGUGUGGUUACAUGACUGCAUCCUCAAACCAAGCACGUUUUCCCAUUGAGCGAUUCGAGUUUGGCCCCAGUCCCGAUAUUGUGGCAAAGCAGAGAGGGAAGGAUCAAGGCUGUUGGCGUUCAGGCCCUUUUUAUUUAUUUUUUUCAAAUAAUGGGAGAACACUGACCUCAUGGAUGAGAUUUUUGUUUGUGCCUUGUGAAGGAACUCGCACCCUCAUCCCAAUCAAACUGUGAUCCGUAUCACGACCAAGGUCUGCCAACGGUUUGCUGGAUCAAACCAGCAACCAGUUCUUCAACAUGCCGACACACGGACCCACAACUGAACACAACACUGAGCCUUUAGUGAUGAACCGUGUUGAAUCACAAUAGAGGGAGGAAGACACUGCGGCUGGGUGACACAGCAAUGGUGUGCGUCUACCUCUGGACUGUAGCAGAGGGAGUGGCAUUAACGCAAGAGCAGCGUGUGUGUGUGUGUGUGUGUGUGUGUGUGUGUGUCACUGAAGCUUAUGCUUGAAGGUGGUCUUAUCCACCCAGUGACUCUCAGAGCCAGAUGGUGUGUGACUGUGUGCCUGUGAGAGUGUGUGUCCUACCUAUGAGUCUCCUGGCAACAAAGUCCACCCCCCC